CAUCAACCAUGUCGAACAAUAACGACAACAUUCAAGGAAAUGAAGGAAACCAACAACUUCAGGAAAAUCUACAGGAUAAUCACAUCCCGGUCCCUUCUCUACAAAGCUCUUCUCGACGGUCUCGAGAAGACACCCCUGAUGGAUUUCAUGCACAUGGAAAUGCUCAAUUAACAACUUCAUGGAAAUCUACAGGAUAAUCACACCCCCGGUACUUUCUUCACAAAGUUCUCCUCGGGAGGGCACUCCUGAUGGAUCUCAUGCGAAUGGAAAUGCUCGAUUUAAAAAUAUUGAAGCUAACGAUGAAACUUUGCAAAAAUUAAUUGUUGCACAUGUGACCUGCUGUACCACUCACACUCCCUCCAAAUCAUAACACUUUGGAGAAUCCUUGUUUUGGUCUUGUUAAUUCAAGAAGUGGUGGAACACCCAGUGAAUCACAAGAAGGAAUACCAUGUAAUUUAGCCAAUUCAGAUUUGUAAAAUUUAGUACUAACAUUGCAGAAACAGCUCAAGGAGCAAAGUGACCGCAUAGAGCAAAUACCUAGGGUAUCGCCUGUAAUAAAAGAGAUAGAAGCGGAUAAAUAUUCACAACAACCCUGAAAGUCAAAUGAUCCCCUCCCUAUUCCAAAGAAAUUCAAAAUGCCUGAUAUUCCAACAACAACCCUGAAAGUAAAAUGAUCCUCUCCCUAUUCCAAAGAAAUUCAAAAUGCCUGAUAUUCCAAAAUACUAUGGAACAACUGAUCCACGAAACUAUGUGACUGUGUUCACAACAGGCGUCAAAGGCAAUUCUUGACCAAAUAGGAAAUUGAAUCAGUAUUGGUCAAGAAAUUUGGUGAAACACUCACCAAGGUUGCAUUAACGUCCCUGCCUACUUCGCUCGGCUCGGCGCUAAACUUGCACUCCAGGUAUUCUGUCUUAGAUAUGCU
rnacentral:lncRNA from 1 species